rnacentral:rRNA from 1 species
GUUUGAUCCUGGCUCAGGACGAACGCUGGCGGCGUGCUUAACACAUGCAAGUCGUACGGUAAGGCCCUUUCGGGGGUACACGAGUGGCGAACGGGUGAGUAACACGUGAGUAACCUGCCCACAACUUUGGGAUAACGCUAGGAAACUGGUGCUAAUACUGGAUAUGUGCUCCUGCUGCAUGGUGGGGGUUGGAAAGCUCCGGCGGUUGUGGAUGGACUCGCGGCCUAUCAGCUUGUUGGUGGGGUAAUGGCCUACCAAGGCGACGAUCAGUAACUGAUUUGAGAGGAUGAUCAGUCACACUGGAACUGAGACACUGUCCAGACUCCUACGGGAGGCAGCAGUGGGGA